rnacentral:rRNA from 1 species
GGUUUUUUGAAUUAUAAUUUAAGAUUAGUUCUGCUCAAUGAUUUGAAAUUAAAUAGCCGCAGUAUUUUGACUGUGCUAAGGUAGCAUAAUCAAUUGUUUUUUAAUUAAGAACUGGAAUGAAGGAAUUGAUGAGAUUAAGACUGUCUAGUAUAAAAUGUUAAAAUUUAAAUUUUAAGUAAUAAUUCUUAAAUAAAGUUAUGGGACGAGAAGACCCUAUAGAAUUUGAUAUAAUUUUUUAAAAUAAGUAUAAAAUAAGAUUUAAUAAAAUUAAUAUUUUAUUGGGAGGAUAAUUAAAUUAAAUUAACUUUAAAAUUAAAAUUAAACAUUAAUUUAUGAUAAUAGUUGAAUAAUUUUAUAAUAAUAAUUAAAAUUAAUUAAAAAUUAAUUACCUUAGGGAUAACAGCGUAAUAUUUUUAAAAAGAUCAUAUUGAUAAAAGUGUUUGCGACCUCGAUGUUGAAUUAAAAUAAAAAUUAAAUGAAGAAGUUUAAUAUUUUAGUCUGUUCGACUAUUAAAAUUUUA